CCUACGGGUGGCAGCAGUGAGGAAUAUUGGUCAAUGGACGCAAGUCUGAACCAGCCAUGCCGCGUGCAGGAAGACGGCUCUAUGAGUUGUAAACUGCUUUUGUACGAGGGUAAACGCAGAUACGCGUAUCUGUCUGAAAGUAUCGUACGAAUAAGGAUCGGCUAACUCCGUGCCAGCAGCCGCGGUAAUACGGAGGAUUCAAGCGUUAUCCGGAUUUAUUGGGUUUAAAGGGUGCGUAGGCGGUCGGAUAAGUUAGAGGUGAAAUCCCGAGGCUCAACUUCGGAAUUGCCUCUGAUACUUUUCGUCUAGAGAGUAGUUGCGGUAGGCGGAAUGUAUGGUGUAGCGGUGAAAUGCUUAGAGAUCAUACAGAACACCGAUUGCGAAGGCAGCUUACCAAGCUACUUCUGACGUUGAGGCACGAAAGCGUGGGGAGCAAACAGGAUUAGAUACCCUGGUAGUC
rnacentral:rRNA from 1 species